rnacentral:lncRNA from 10 species
GUCUCUUUUAUUUUUUUUGAAACGGAGUCUCGAUCUGUCACCCAGGCUGGAGUGCAGUGGCACAAUCUCGGCUCACUGCAACCUCCGCCUCCCGGGUUCAAGCGAUUCUCCUGCCUCAGCCUACUGAGUAGCUGGGAUUACAGGCGCCCGCCACCAUGCCUGACUAAUUUUUGUAUUUUUAGUAGAGACGUAGAGACAGGGUUUCACCACGUUGGCCAGGCUUGUCUUGAACUUCUGACGUCGUGAUCCACCCGCCUCAGCCUUCCAAAGUGCUGCAAUUAUAGACAUGAACCACCGCGCCUGGCCACAAGCUGUCUCUUCAUGUUCUCUACAUACAAUGGCAAAGAUCUUAAUUGGAAAUCGAACCUUCUAAUCUUCCAGGGAGUUGCUGCAUUCCGAAGUAGGACUGAAGGCGCUUGCCCUGGUCCCAGCUGUUUUCAUGGAGUUCCAAAUAUGUGCUGAACUUCCUGCCAGUGGAGGGGUAGGAGGUCAGAAGAGGAAGGGCCAACCACAUCCCAUGUCCAACACAAGCUUUAAAAGUCACACUGGGCCGGGCAUGGUGGCUCAUGCCUGUAAUCCUAGCACUUUGGGAAGCUGAGGCAGGCGGAUCAGGCAGACAAGUUCGGACAAGGCGGGCAGACAAGGUCAGGAGAUCGAGACCAUCCUGGCUAACACAGUGAAACCCCGUCUCUACUAAAAGUACAAAAAAUUAGCCGGGAGUGGUGGUGG